ACUACAGCAGCUACUAUGGGGGCCUGGGCUAUGGCUAUGGCUCUGGUUAUGGCUGUGGAUGUGGCAGCUACCGUGGCCUAGGCUAUGGCUAUGGCAGCUGUGGCUGUAGAGGCCUGGGCUAUGGUGGCUAUGGCUAUGGAGGCCUGGGCUAUGGUGGCUAUGGCUAUGGCUGCUGCCGCCCAUCUUGCUGUGGAAGUUAUUCUUCCUACGGCUUUUACUGAAAAACCACCUGUUCCUGCAGUGUCCUGGAAUCCUUGUGCAACCCUGCUUGGUGUAAUUCCAUGGCAUUUCAAGACAUCACCUUCCACCUGCUUCUACACCUGGGUGAUAUAAGAGAGACACCACAAGAAGUCUCACCAUUCCUAAGAAACAGAGCAAGCAGUGAAUGCCAGGAAAUACAGAAGCACCAGGAUCCUUCCCUCUGAAAA
rnacentral:lncRNA from 1 species